rnacentral:rRNA from 1 species
CACUCCUACGGGAGGCAGCAGUGGGGAAUUUUGGACAAUGGGCGAAAGCCUGAUCCAGCAAUGCCGCGUGAGUGAAGAAGGCCUUCGGGUUGUAAAGCUCUUUUGUCAGGGAAGAAACGGUGAAAGCUAAUAUCUUUUGCUAAUGACGGUACCUGAAGAAUAAGCACCGGCUAACUACGUGCCAGCAGCCGCGGUAAUACGUAGGGUGCAAGCGUUAAUCGGAAUUACUGGGCGUAAAGCGUGCGCAGGCGGUUUUGUAAGUCUGAUGUGAAAUCCCCGGGCUCAACCUGGGAAUUGCAUUGGAGACUGCAAGGCUAGAAUCUGGCAGAGGGGGGUAGAAUUCCACGUGUAGCAGUGAAAUGCGUAGAUAUGUGGAGGAACACCGAUGGCGAAGGCAGCCCCCUGGGUCAAGAUUGACGCUCAUGCACGAAAGCGUGGGGAGCAAACAGGAUUAGAUACCCUGGUAGUCCC